CACACAAGCCCAGAGACCCAGAGACCAGCCUCACCAAAUUUGCCUCGCUGUUUUGCAGUGGGAAGCUGUAGCAGAAUGAGGGGAAGCCCCCCAAAACCACAAUCGCAUCCCCGCCCUAGUCCAGACAGUAGGUGUUGCGCAGAAAAAAUGUUUCCCAGGGAUGGGGCCCGAUGAGGUCCUAAUUAGUGCAUCUAAAAAUCCGAUGGGAAUAAGUGAAACUGGAAAGUCAAACACUGCCUGCGCAUCGAGUACAACUUUCUCCAGGUAUUUCCCCCGCUCUCAAUAGCCCCCCACCCGGACAUCCAGUUCAGAGUGACCUGUCUGUCUGAUCCCAGAGAGAGAAGCAAACUCUCGCCUUCCUCCGCUCAGUGGCACAGCGAAGGGCUUCUUGGGUUUAAACCAGUGACUCUCCCAAGAAGCCAAUGAGGGUUUCUAGAGACAAGUCCCCCCUGGGGGCUCCAGCUUCGUCUCCAGGACCUGCCCCCCAGAAAUACUUCCGAGGGCUCCAGUGAAGGGGAAGAGGGACUGGACUGGACUUAACUUCCAGCUUGCGCUCCGCUGGACUGUUUCGCUACGACCAGCGAGGAUCUGGCUGCAAGGAGGCGCUCGCCCUUCCGGAUGGGACCCCCCCUUCAAAGAAGGUGCCCCAUUUCAAACCGCGCCCAGCCUUGGGCUGCUUUCAAAUGGAGAAAAGCCAAACGCAGUCUCAACAAUUCCUCUGGAGCAAUUUCUGCCCGCUGAAGCCUUUACAAACUGGAAAUCCUGAUUACACAAAGUCAUUGGCAAAAGCAGAACUAAUAAAAAGAUUACCUGGUAGCCAGGUCUGUUGUA